rnacentral:rRNA from 1 species
AGCUCCAAUAGCGUAUAUUAAAGUUGUUGCAGUUAAAAAGCUCGUAGUUGGAUUUCGGAGUGGGCCAGUUGGUCCGCCGCAAGGUGUGUUACUGACUGGUUUGCUCUUCUUCGCAAAGACUGCGUGUGCUCUUUGUUGAGUGUGCGUAGGAUUUACGACGUUUACUUUGAAAAAAUUAGAGUGUUCAAAGCAGGCUAUUGCUUGAAUACAUGAGCAUGGAAUAAUGGAAUAGGACUUUGGUCCCAUUUGGUUGGUUUCGAGGACCGAAGUAAUGAUUAAGAGGGACAAUUGGGGGCAUCCGUAUUUCGUUGUUAGAGGUGAAAUUCUUGGAUUUACGAAAGACGAACAACUGCGAAAGCAUUCGGCAAGGAUGUGUUCA